rnacentral:rRNA from 1 species
UACGGGGGGGGUAAGCGUUGUUCGGAAUUACUGGGCGUAAAGGGCUCGUAGGCGGCCAACUAAGUCAUACGUGAAAUCCCUCAGCUUAACUGGGGAACUGCGUGUGAUACUGGAUGGCUUGGAUUUGGGAGAGGGAUGCGGAAUUCCAGGUGUAGCGGUGAAAUGCGUUGAUAUCCACAGGAACUCCGGUGGCGAAGGCGGCACGCUGGACCCCAUCUGACGCUGAGGCGCGAAAGCCAGGGGAGCGAACGGG